rnacentral:lncRNA from 1 species
AGCAAGCCCUCUCUCCACAUCUCCCUUCUACUCCAGAUUUUCAGCUGCAGGAUUAUAAAGAACUCAGGAUUUCCCAGUAUUUACACAGGCCUGUUCCACAUCAUGGCACCCUAUGUAAGACGAGUGGUUCUGAAAAUACAUCAUCAUGGAUCAUCAGCUAUAAUGAGAAGUAGAUUAACCCAGGGGCAUGCCAUCAAAUGAUCUGCCAAAGAGUCAAGAAGAGGCCCAGUGGGGACAAUUUUGGAGGUCAGCCCAGGCUGAAGUGGAUGGCCAAUUGACACCAAGCGGAACGAUGGACAACCAUGUUAAUAGAUCUCCUGAUUUUCCAAGAGAAGUUAGAAAUUUCUAUUUUUAUAUGAAAUCUCCUGUUUUUAAACGUUGGCAACUGAUUCAAAAUAAUUUUAAACACUUUGAAAGAUAAAUAAAAUGUGUCUGCAGGCAGCCCAGUUUGUGACCUCUUCUUCUAGAAGUCCCCUAGAGAAGACUUAGCAAUAAUUACUCUUCGGAGCCUCCCCAACUUUACCCCAUUCUCACCUCCACCCCUCCCUCAUUAACUCCCUCCCUAAUUAACUGUUCUUUGACCUCAGUUACUAAAGCAAUUUAUAUGUAUGUCUGUUAGAGUGCUCAAUACAUUCUGUGAAAGUUUUGUUGUCGUUGUUUGGUUUUUUCAUAUCUAUCUGCCUUGCUAAAGAUAAAGUUGACCUCUGAGCUUGGUGCUCAGUUAGACUUGGAGGAAAUCUGUUUGAGUUCCAGCUCUGACAUGAGACAACUUUGGUUGAAUCAUUUGACCUCUUUAGGUUCAGUUUUCACAUCUAAAAUGUGAAUUAAUAAUAAUAAUGGAAAAAACAGUGGCUCCAUUAUUAGCUAUAACAAUGGAGAUACAGUGUAUUAUCUGCAGUCAAACCUUCCAGAAGCUCUCAGGAAGAAACUCUGAGUGUAGAUGGAUUUUUUAAUUAAUAAUUAUGAUAAUAGGUGGAAUAUCGAGUGCUCGCAUGUGCCAGGCACUUCCCAGAUGCUUUAUCCGGUCCCUUAAUCGUCACAACAACUCUAUAAGGUAAACGCUAUCAUUGUUUGUAUUUUACUGGUGAACAAAAUAAGGCUUAGGGUGGUUGAAUAGAACUUCUACUAAGUGGCAGAACUGGAACCAGAACCGAGAUGUCGCACUUCAAGGCCCCGGAUCUUGAACACACCCCUGAUUCACUACAGCAUAAAGUCUCAGAACAGAGUCUUUCCUCAAUCUGUUUGGUCCCUAAGGCAAUAAGAUGGGCGGACACAUAAACUCUUGUGUCUUUCAUAUUUUGUG